rnacentral:rRNA from 1 species
AACGAACGCUGGCGGCAUGCCUAACACAUGCAAGUCGAACGAGACCUUCGGGUCUAGUGGCGCACGGGUGCGUAACGCGUGGGAACCUGCCCUUAGGUUCGGUAUAACUCCCCGAAAGGGGUGCUAAUACCGGAUAAUGUCUUCGGACCAAAGAUUUAUUGCCUUUGGAUGGGCCCGCGUUGGAUUCGCUAGUUGGUAGGGUAAAAGCCUACCAAGGCGACGAUGCAUAGCUGGUCUGAGAGGAUGAUCAGCCACACUGGGACUGCGACACGGCCCAGAAUCGUACGGGAGGCAGCAGAGGGGAAUAUUGGACAAUGGGGGAAAGCCUGAUCCAGCAAUGCCGCGUGAGUGAUGAAGGCCGUAGGGUUGUAAAGCUCUUUUACCCGGGAUGAUAAUGACGGUACCGGGUGAAUAAGCUCCGGCUAACUACGUG